rnacentral:rRNA from 1 species
AGUGAACGCUGGCGGCAGGCCUAACACAUGCAAGUCGAGCGGCAGCGCGGGGGCAACCCUGGCGGCGAGCGGCGGACGGGUGAGGAAUACAUCGGAAUCUGCCUUGUUGUGGGGGAUAACGUAGGGAAACUUACGCUAAUACCGCAUGAGACCGUAAGGUGAAAGUGGGGGAUCGCAAGACCUCACGCGACAAGAUGAGCCGAUGUCGGAUUAGCUAGUUGGUGAGGUAAAGGCUCACCAAGGCAACGAUCCGUAGCUGGUCUGAGAGGAUGAUCAGCCACACUGGGACUGAGACACGGCCCAGACUCCUACGGGAGGCAGCAGUGGGGAAUAUUGGACAAUGGGCGCAAGCCUGAUCCAGCCAUGCCGCGUGUGUGAAGAAGGCCUCGGUUGUAAGCGACUUUGUUGGGUAAGGAAAGUACCUAGUCGACUUAAUACUACGCGGGGAGUGACGGUA